rnacentral:rRNA from 1 species
GUCGAACGAGAGAGAAGGAGCUUGCUUCUUCGAUCGAGUGGCGAACGGGUGAGUAACGCGUGAGGAACCUGCCUCAAAGAGGGGGACAACAGUUGGAAACGACUGCUAAUACCGCAUAAGCCCACGGAUCGGCAUCGAUCUGAGGGAAAAGGAGCAAUCCGCUUUGAGAUGGCCUCGCGUCCGAUUAGCUAGUUGGUGAGGUAAUGGCCCACCAAGGCGACGAUCGGUAGCCGGACUGAGAGGUUGAACGGCCACAUUGGGACUGAGACACGGCCCAGACUCCUACGGGAGGCAGCAGUGGGGAAUAUUGCACAAUGGGGGAAACCCUGAUGCAGCGACGCCGCGUGGAGGAAGAAGGUCUUCGGAUUGUAAACUCCUGUUGUUGAGGAAGAUAAUGACGGUACUCAACAAGGAAGUGACGGCUAACUACGUGCCAGCAGCCGCGGUAAAACGUAGGUCACAAGCGUUGUCCGGAAUUACUGGGUGUAAAGGGAGCGCAGGCGGGAAGACAAGUUGGAAGUGAAAUCUAUGGGCUCAACCCAUAAACUGCUUUCAAAACUGUUUUUCUUGAGUAGUGCAGAGGUAGGCGGAAUUCCCGGUGUAGCGGUGGAAUGCGUAGAUAUCGGGAGGAACACCAGUGGCGAAGGCGGCCUACUGGGCACCAACUGACGCUGAGGCU